GACGAACCGUGCGAACGUUGUUCGGAUUCACUGGGCUUAAAGGGCGCGUAGGCGGACGGUCAAGUCGGGGGUGAAAUCUUUCAGCUUAACUGGAAAAGUGCCUCCGAUACUGAUCGUCUCGAGGGAGGUAGGGGCAUGUGGAACUUCCGGUGGAGCGGUGAAAUGCGUAGAUAUGUGGAGGAAUACCGAUGGCGAAGGCAGCCCCCUGGGAUAACACUGACGCUCAUGCACGAAAGCGUGGGGAGCAAACAGG
rnacentral:rRNA from 1 species